GGCAGCCGGCGAUGGAUGCGUGCACCACGGGAAUGGCAUCGGAGAGCUCACCCUCGAACACACUGUAGAAACACGGAUUCGCUGCUUACUGGGGUGGGUCGCUCUUUUCAGACCUCUCGCUCUCCGCCUCCCUUCCCUUCCCGCCCCGGCGGCUCGGGACCAGAAGCUCUCGCCUCACCUAUAGAAGUUCUCUGAGCCUCCGAUGGCCACCAGGCAGUAGGCGUUUGUGAGUUUGGCAAAACAACCGACCUCACAGUUGUUCUCGAACGACGCUCUGACCGCCAUGAGAGAGGCUGGGGGGCAGCACGACUGCGGGUUCUGGGCCGACAGAUCCACUCCGGAGCCGGGUCAACCAGCCUCGCCUCCUCAAACCCCGCCCUCUCGGGCCCCUCAGAUGCCCGGGCGUGCGGACGGAUCCCUCCUGGCUCUCCUGCCCCAAGUCCUCUCGCCCUGCGACCCGGAACUGACUUUUGCCGCCCAGAGUCCCAACAGCUCACCAAGCGACUCCAAUGUCUACACGCUGCAACAACUUCUCCCGUAACUAGCUUUCCGUUUCCGCCUCCUCCCAGGCCCGCUUCCGGGAGCGCGCAGGAGCCGGGCGGAGCUGCUGGUCACUCUAGCCCCACCCUUUGGGAGGACUCGAUGGUUACUAGGUGACUCCGCCCGACCCCGCCUCCUGCACGUUUUCUUGCUUUAGGUUUUUGGCUUCACCUCCUAGUGGGUCUUUUUAGAAGGAAUAAUCAAUCAAACCUGAGGCUGGGCAAAUGAAAAGAUGAGGAAAUGAGGAACCGGUGUUGUCUGGUUGGAGCUGGAUUGAUUGGAGGGCUUUAUUUACCGAGUAAGGACGGGAAAAGGGCGGAUUUGAGAAAGAGGAUAAUCACACCCCGGCCACGCGGACGGAAGUGGGAAUCUGGACCAGUGGCAAGGGUCAAGGGUUGAAGAUUGAAAUUUGGCAUAGAGAUCAACCAAGAGACCAGGAUAAAGUGGUUGGAGGAGGCAUAAGAACCAUAGGCUGAAGAAGACAAUGGAGACGGGGAAAUGUGUUACGGAGAGAUUGGAGGAGAAAGGGUUCUAGGGUAAGCAAAGAUCUGAGAGCUGACUUGCUUCCUUGAUGUGUUUAUCACGCAGUUUAUCACCCCAUCAGCAGCCCUGGGGAUAGUGGUAUGGCCCAUUUUCAUAGAAUAAACUUGUCUCAACUAGUGUAGAAUAUACAAAAGUCCCCAGGGUGUCUCAGAAUGCCACAGUGGAAGGUAAAAGGAGCAGAGAAUCACUUACCGCAGACUGUCUUAUGCCAUUCAUUCUUCUCCAAGAAGAUCUGAUCUGAAAGGGGCAUAAAUGGCGCGGCGCCCUUUCCCCAGCCCCAUCAUACAGUCCCAUAACCGAGAACACAUCAGAUUGCUACGGGGUCUAGCCACAAUUGCCUUUAUUGAUUAGUACCAUGCACAGUCUCCUGCAGGUGCUAAGUUCAGGAGAAAGACCCAUGACCAGCUGCAGCCCGAGCUUCCAGAGACAUUCAGCAAGGUGGUCUGUGUGUUUGUGUCUAAGUGUUCAACUACGUGCUCUGCUUAUCUCCCCCAGCUCACCCCAGAUCCGCUCAUUGAGCCCCACACCACUCUCUGGCUUACUCUACCAAGAACUCUUAACUCUCCUCCACCUGGCUCUCCCCCUGUCCUUCAAGACCAGCCUCCAAGUCAGCCUCUCUCUGAUAAGCUUUGUCGAUCGCUCUACUAUCUCCAUGACCCUCUGUCCCUAAUACAGUUUUCAUCUAAUACAUCUGUCUUGUUCUCUGAGGUUUGUGCUUUUAAGCUUCAGCCCUCAGAAUCUGCAUCUAAGUAGCCUUUCGGCUCUAGGGAAUGUUCAGGGUGAGGUUGUGAGCACAGCUUGGUGCAGAGUUAGGAUGAAGAGUCAUAUGUGUAUUUAUAGUUUCUGAGUCUCAGGGGGGCUCUGCAGUGUGUACUAGAAGCUUGAAUUUUCUGUGGCCAUUCAUUUAGGCAGACCAUAUUGAUUAUGUACCUGCAACAGAAGUUUUAUUUUUGAGUUAAUCAGAGAGCUCUGUAUACUCGCUCUAUGCAUCUAUGGGUGUACCUAGUCAUUGUUCUCUGUGUACUGUACGGGCAUCUGAAACAUCCUUGUAGUGUCCAUGUUUUAUGUACAUAGAAACACAGGAACUGCAGAUUCUAUGUGUUGUGUCUGGGCAAACAAAAUUCAGAUUUAGAGCCAGAGGACAAUGGACUGGCAGAAUUCCCUAACCUGUCACUUGAUUGGAUCUUCCUCCAAAUUAACCAUCCAAGCUCUGGACUUCAGUGCCCAUUCUUAUAAAAUGGGAAGAAUAUCAAUCGUCUGUUCUCUUUGGCCUCUGUGACAGAAGCAAGAUGUCAAAAAUGAGCAUCAUCCUUUGGAAGGCAUCACAAUAAGGCACAAACCUCGGCGCUGCCUCUGUGGCUCUAAGGCGACCACCUUCAGAAGUUGACCUGUGGAGAAUGUGGCUGUCCUACCAAGUGUAAGAGGAAGUAUAACGGGAGCGCCAAGGCCAAGAGACCAAACACUACUGGGGACUGGGCGGUCAGGAACAUAAAUUUGUCUGUCACAGAUUCAGACUCGGAUUCUGUGAUGGAGCAUCCCCAAACAGGGCAGCCACUGCAGCAGUCUGUUCAUCUUGAGGAUUUUCUACCAGUCUAGUUGCAAAGGCUUUUGAAAAAUGGGAAGAAUAAUACUUGAUACAUCUA
rnacentral:lncRNA from 1 species